CCCGGAAGGUUCCACUCACUGCAGAGGGGGUUCUUAUGCAUGUACUAGGAGUCUGAUGUUCAUUAUAACAGAAUUUCAGGGCACAGGACUGUUUACCAGAACGGUGUAGCAUACAUGAGGGGUGGGGUUCAGUUACACUAAAAUACCUAAUACGGGCAGAUAGAGGGAGAGAGAGAGGGAGGGAGGGAGAGAGAGAAGUGGAGGGAGAGCACCAGAAGAGGAAUACAACAAGGGAUGAAAGGAGACACCCCAGUGAACAGCACCAUGAGUGUCGGCCAAGCCAGGAAGCUGGUGGAGCAAUUGAAGAUUGAAGCCAGUUUUUGCAGGAUCAAGGUAUCAAAGGCGGCUGCAGACCUGAUGGCAUACUGUGAUAACCACGCGAUUGAAGACCCCCUCAUCACCCCUGUGCCCAUCUCAGAGAAUCCAUUCAGGGAGAAGAAGCUCUUCUGUGCACUCCUUUGAGACAAGCCACAGGAUGUUGUGAAAUACAAUGUCCAGACAAAAAUGCAAACAAUACGUAACCAUUAACAUAAGGAGUCAUGAUAGCCUUUCAAAACAAAUACACAUCUAAAACACACCUAAACACACCAAGAAAGCUAACAAUGUUGAACCUGAAGAAAAACAUACAAGUGGAUAUACUGUAAAUACAUUAUGCAACAUGAAAUAGCUCAUUUCUCAAAUCAACUCAAUAGGCAAGAUGGAUGAUGGAGGGGUGACAAAACAAAUUUGAAUUAUUUGUCAUUUUUAAAACACACUUCAUGGUAAAUAUCCAUUGCCUGCCCUAAUCAGCCUUUGUUAAAUAGUUUGUGUGCGACAGACAGUCCUGGAUGUCCCUUUUUUAAUGCAGAAAUGUAGGUGCCACUGGAUCAGUAAUUGAAUCUUCAUUUAACUAGGCAAGUCAGUUAAGAACAAAUUCUUAUUUACAAUGACUGCCUAGGAACAGUGGGUUAACUGCCUUGUUCAGGGGCAGAAAGACGGAUUUUUACCUUGGGGAUUUGAUCAAGCAACCGAAAGGCUAGGCUACCUGCCGCCCAGUAAGAGGGUAUUAAGAGGACAAGGCAAUACACACUGACCCAAAUAAUUCCACUGGUGUGUACAAGUGGUAAGCUGCCUUAACACAGGAUCAGUGAUCCAAAAAGAGAGGUUCCCAAUAAAUGAUCAAUGAUGUUUAUUUAUUUAAACUAGGCAAGUCAGUUAAGAACAAAUUCUUAUUUACAAUGUCGGCCUACAGCGGCCAAACCCGGACGACGCUGGGCGAAUUGUGUGCCGCCCUAUGGGACUCCCAAUCACAGCCGGUUGUGAUACAGCCUGGAUAAAUGAUAAAAGCGGUUUAAAUUUGUCAAGUGGGAGCCUAAUAAUAAAUAAGUUAUGCCUUUAUGACAAUAGCAUUAACUAAGAGGUAUAUUUCGAGACCAGUCUUUAAGGAUGCUUAGGAAUAUUAUCACUCUUAAGAUCAAUGUUACAAUGUAGACCUUAACUGUUUAUAUUUCUUCAAAAUAAAGAGCUCUGAAUAAAAGGAGACGUCGGUAAUCAAAGACUAAAAUAAACACCGUCACCAAAAACAAGUUUGCAUUUCAUUUGUGAUUUUAUUUCCCCCCCAAAAAAUGGCAAAAACAAAACAAACCCAGAAUUGUCCAGAUCUUGCAGUUGGUUUUGUUCAUUUCAAAAGAAAAAUAUAAAAACUAAUAUGCUUUCACAGUCAAAACACAAAAACAUGAACCAGUAUUUCAGAAAAACCAUCAUUCAGCAAUUAAACGUUAGCAAGCAACACGCGCAUGCCUAGAAAUUACUUCCUGGAACAACAGUGCUCCUUUUCGUGGGUUUACUUUAGGCUUUCAUUUUGUGUGUGAAAAUUGGGUGAUUUGUGGUAGCUAACUUAAGUAGAUCGUAAAAAAUAAAAAAAUAUUACAACAUUGAGGCAUCUCUUCAACUUUGACAAAAACAAACACAAGAUAACAUGGAGCAAUUACACCUUAGUGUUUCCUGUGAACUCUGUUUUGUAAAAAUGAACAGUAACAUCUUGACAUUUUAACUACAGAUGUUAAAGCUAUCUGGUAUCUAAAAUGGUUUAAAAUUCUAUUAUAAGUUAAUUUAAAUAAAUGCACGGGCAAACAGUCAGUUGGAGAUGAGUACAAACAUUAGUUAUGUGAAGGGACCGUGUUGAUAAAAGUUUUCCUUUGACAGAGAACAAAUUGAAAUAACACAUUGCUGGAAAACCAAAAUGAGCUCAUUCCCAACGUUUCUGUGCAGCCAAAGAUUUGAAUCAUAGAAAAGGUCAGCAUUACAGAGCUACACAGUUGGGUGUAACAACCCCAUGGGUGACUGCAGCAAAGUAUGUCUUACUGAUUUUAAAAGCAUUCUUAAGUCUAUAAGACUAUAGUUAAAAAAAUAACUGGGUCUUACGACUUCAGACUUUGCUUAACUUCCUCAUGUGCAGUGAGAGUCCAUAUGAGGUGUAAGUUGAUGUGAGACCACAGUAGAGGUAAAUGGAUGUUUGGGAUUUAGAAAUUGGAAAAACUGAAACUGGAUAAAAUAGCUUCUCUACAGGAAAGAAUCGCACCACUCACGCAGGCAGCCGUAGCAAUCGCCCUGCUGUUUGACAUUGGCCCCGCAUGUAUCUUUCAGCCAGUCCCGGAAUAGCUCCUCAUCCUUCUUCAGCACUAGGAACUGACCCAGGACCACGUAAGCCUAUGGGAGUACAUAAGUGAGAAUUGAGGGGGGAAAAAAAGAGAACAUAGACACACUAACCACUAGGUAAAAUUAAUAUACAAAACAAAGUUCCAUUAUCUCUUAUGUCCAUCGGCACAGCCAGAAGAGGACUGGCCACCCCUCAGAGCCUGGUUCCUCUAGGUUCCUUUCUUUUUAGAGAGUUUAACCCUAGUCACCAUGCCUAUCUGCAUUGUUUGCGCUUUGGGUUUUAGGCUGGGUUUCUGUAUAAGGACUUUGUGACAUCUGCAUCUGCUGAUGUAAAAAUGGGCUUUAGAAAUAUAUUAAAUCGAUUGAUUAAAGUUCCAAAGUUAAGUAAACUCUGCAUCACCUUGUCGAAGCCCUUCUCCUCCAGUCUCUUGCCAAGCACCUCUCCAAUGCCAGCAAGUGCAUUCACUAACUUCUCCCCCAUGGGUUCUGCCACAAACUCUUUGUGUUUCUGGGAUGUUGACGACAUGGCUGCUUUCUGUCAGUGAUCACCUAGAGUACCUUCACACAAGGAACAGAAUAGAAAAUGAAGUAAUUCACCACAAUUGGAGGUUAUUGCACCUUUUAUCUACUGCUUUUAGUUUUAAACAGUUGAGGCACACACUUGAUCUACGCCAAUAUAUGGUGUUGCUAGGUGUUUCUAACGUAUAUUAAACAGGACAUACCGGGUGAACAUGACAAACAGCAGUGCCACAGUUUGCAUAAAUCAUAAUGGGAGUGCCCUAGCAUGACCUGUGUCUUACCAGUUCCAAACUGAAACCAAAACCUUUCCAUGUUGUUUGUGGGAAACAAAUACUCCUUGUAUGCUAACUUGACCAGGACCACCGUGUAAUCCACGCAAAGCUACAUUCGCCAAGGCGGCAGCCAGCCCAGAGCUGACGAUGGGUUCUUCAUCCAGGAUGGUGGUUGAUGCUGUGGAGAACUAUGAGAUGGAAGCAAAAGGGGACUCCAACCAGCACUACUGGUAAAUGCAUGGAAAAAUGGAAGAGACAACAAGGCAGGAGGAUGACACUCACAUCAGGCUGCUUCUGUUCCUCAUCCACGUUGACGAUGCUCCAGCCAACGUUCUCAUCCUCAUCCGAGUCUGAUCCUCCGGCCCCAUCUCUCGCCGCCUCCUGUUCGAAAUCCUAGAAACAGAAGGAUACAGACUCAAACCAUAGUGUGUUCAAGUGCAAACACACAACAGAGCUCAUGGAUAUGUCAAGUCUCUCUACUGAGCACACUAGAAUACAAUUGUAACAGUUUCCUUGUUUAUGAUGUGAUUAUGUGCCAAUUCUAAUGAUAUAUACAUUUUCUUACCAAUUAGCUAUUUCCCAUCUCUUAAAAUGUACCCACCAUGAUAUCCUCCUGGUCCUCUCUGUUUCCUGACAGACCGUAGGUGGGGAUGUCACCCAGAGUUCUGCAGAACUCAGAGGUGGCGUUAAAUACAAUGUUCAGGUUGUUCUUGUUGUCUUCGUCGUCACUGCCGUCCACUCUUGCAAGCCAUGGGACCUGCUCUGCCACCUGAAGCACAAGAGAGUGAGAGCAAUGUUUAACCACUUAUUGGUGAUUUAAUAGCAAAGUUUUGAUGGUAAUCUACACAAUAUUGCAGUUUUCAGUCAUCAAAUUAGGGAUCAAUACACAGGAUAGAAUCUUUUGCCACACCAAUGCUCACACCUUUUCCCCAGAGUCUUGGAGCAGCUGCUUCUGUUUGAGUUUCCUCUGCUUCUCCAGCUGCUUCUGUUUGAGCUUCCUCUGCUUCUCCAGCUGCUUCUGCAGAUCUUGCUCUGCCUCGUCCUCCUCCAGCACAGCUGGCUCAGUGGGGAUGAAGUCCUCUGAAGGAAGAGUAAAGUGUAAGUGUUGUCAUAAUAUUAAACAAAACCAGACAUGAGUGAACCAUACAUUUGUUUCGCUCAUCACUAAACCACUAACAGAUGUCUCCCUCACCAUCGUCACUGAUGUCCAUGUCUGCCAUCCUGAUGUCAUCAGACUGUUGGGGUACAUCUAGUCCCGGUAUGAUGACACCCUCCUUUGACACCUCCUGGCCCUCAUCCAACUGCCUGCGACCCCGACCCCGAACCCUGAAGGAGAGACAGAGAAAGAGUCAGACUGAAACUAAGGUGGCUCAUCUGUCAUAUUCCACUUGAAGCGGAGAGGAGCAGAACCUGGAGCCGAAGUCGGUGUUGCGCGUGUCGUCUAGUUGGAGCUCGUCAGGCAACGCCUUCUUCCUGAUCUUCCUGACGCGCUGCUUGGUCUUCUUAAAGCCCACCUUUAACAACAAAAGUAGUAAGAAUCUGUGUGAACAACCAUUAAUGAGAGCUCAUAUUGUGUGUGAACAAAUCUAUAAAAAAAAAAAACACAGCAUUCAAAAGUAGACACAUUUACACAUGAAACCUGAGAGAAACCAUAUCCAAAAGACAGCUUUCCCAGGCCCUCUCCAGAGCAGCACCUCCCCACAACCCUCACCAUCUCCUGUGGUGUGUAGUACUCUGAGGCAAUUGCGAGAGCAGGCAUCUCCAGGGACUGGGCCUGGUUCCUCAGGGUCUCCCGGAUGGCCUGCAGCUCCCGUUCCCGUUCCCCCUCAGCACAGCCCCCUUUGCUCAGCUGGAAACUCUUCUUCUUCUCUCCAUCAAUCUCCUCAUCAUACUUGCCCAGCACAGUGCGCGGCUUGAACUGCAGAGAAUAAGUGCAGAGGCGGACAUUGGUCAGUGAGAUUGAAUUAAGCAUGAGAGCGACAUGACAGCAUUUCCUAAAAAGAAGACAAACUCUUUUCUUACCGUAGCCAUGUCAUCGACACUCUCGUCCUCUUCGUAAGCUUUGUAAUCAGGCUUUUUCUUCUUCAACUCCACAUUCUUCUCAGCCUUUUCUUUGUCCACUAGACCCACGUUUACAAGUACAUCACCCUCCUCUUCAAGCACACCUGAAAGAGACACACAAAGGCCAAGUGUGUGGGUGUUUGAUAAGGGUCUGGUGUAGGCAUAGUCUUCAUUGAUAUAUUUCUGUGUUAAUGUUAACAUUUCAACCUCCUCUCACCUUGGUCUUGCAGUGUGAGGAUGACAGUCUCCCCUUCAUUAAAUGACUCCAUCCUAUGCUGCACAGUGAGACCCUUUAGGUCCCGAGAACUGUAAGCGGCCUAUAACAAAGAUAAGCAGAAUAACAUAAGAGGCAUUUUCUAACACCAGGUAGGGCGACAACUCAGUCUGCACAGAAUCAAGACAUCAAGCAUCCUACAUCAAGCAUGGUGUCACAGGUCUCAAACUCCAUAGGGGGGGAAACUGACAGAUUCACUGAAUGCGGUUGAAAUCUAGCCUGCACUCAUACACAAACCAGAAGACAGUGUCUUCACAAUCGUAAGUUGAGCAGGUGAGAUAUUCAACGCAAGAAAGCAGAUUUUACCUUCUUGGUCUGGCCAAACUCCUCAUCCACCAGAUUGCUCACACCAAACUCCUCAUCCAUCUCCUGCAGAAGUUUGGCCUGAUAGGGAAAGCAAAGAAAUCAAAAGGAACCAAUCAAACAGAGUACAAAAUCAUAACUAAGAUAAGCAUCUCCCUUCAUUUCACAGCCCUCCUGCUCCCCACAUGGUUCCCUCCCUACUCACUCUCUUCUCUGCCAGUUCUUUCUCUUUGGCCAUCUUCCGGCUCCUCUCCACCCAAGCUACAGUGUCGUCCAGCCAGUCUCCCUCUGCUAAAGUCUUCACUUUCCUGAAGUAGAAGAAAAAAAAGUGGACGAGGAAGAGAAAAUAAAAAAGGUUACAUUAAAUCACUUAUCAAUGUAGUGCAAAUUGGUGGAGUAUGUUGGUGGAGUAUGUGCAGACAAAACCUUCCUGCAGUUAGACCUUACCCCAGUUUCUUAUUGAGGAGCCUCUUCUCCUUCAUAGCCGCCAGUUUCUCCCUCAUCUCGUUCUGCUGUUUGAUGUACACAGGAUUGAUCGUCUCCGCAACCAUUGGCUGCUCCUUCGUACCGAGCUCUGGGGCAGCAGACAUGGGUGAGCCAAUCACGAUCAGCCACACUUUCAUACAUGAUGUCACUACUAUAGACUAUGGGCUGCAUUUCAAACACAAAAGACACAGCCUACUCCACUUACCCUCACCUUAAGCCUUUGGGUGGAAUCCCCACGGCCAUCUUUGCCGUUGUUCCAAACAAUUAGCCAAGCAAGUGAAGUUGGCAACAUAAGCCCCUCAGCCCCCGUUUUUUUAUCAAGUUUGCGAGUGUACAAUUCUGUUCACUCCGGGGCCUGAAACACCCCAUAAUUCAAUUUGCGAUGAUUGCACAUCCACUAAGAAAAGUCAUCCGAAACUUAACUCCAACAUGGAGAAGUCAACAUGCAAGUGUAAGUAAAAACAAAUGUAAAUAAAUUAGAAAUUGUGCUACUAAUGCACAUGACGGCACUAACAUACAUCGUAAAAGUUAUGUUUUUGUUUGGUUAGCUUUUGGAAACAUUAGCUAGUGCAUACAACUUUCCCUGACAUCACACUUCUACACUGUAAUUUUCGAUUUACCUGAUAUCAGAUGGCCAGCAUUCGAUGUCUGCUGAUGCGUUAUCUUCUAGCCAAGAUAUGAAAUGCAAUCAUAAUGAACUAUAGCUCAUAUAAAAAUUUAAAAACACCAGCUACCGGUUCCAUUACGACUGAAAACACAACUGUGGGACUAACGAGUGACAAAUUUCCAGUCAAGGGCGGCCCAUUUAAAAUGAAUUAAUUCUUCCCUCGCCCUGCAAGUGUCAAUUCACCAAACAUCAUAAUGCAUCAGAAGAGUCCACUUCAUUUGAGGGCUGAGGAUGCAUCUUUUACGUGUUUGCAGCCAUGUUCUAGUUCUAACCAGAGACCCCAUAUGGCUCAAGUUUCUCACCUUUAGUUGUGUCAGUCAUUUCCAGAGGCUUCAGACCAAGCUUGGCCCUCAGCUUGCUGUUAAGAAAGGCAGGCAGGUUAGAAAGUUAUUCAGAAUUUACUUACACCAUCAUCAGGGCACCAUCAUUCAAUGUCCGUCACUUACUUUGUCUCUUCAAUGCUAAGUGAGGCAUCUCCACUUGCAGACUGUGGUCCAAUUCCUAAAAGGAAAUUUACAAUUGAAGUGAAAAACACAGGAGAAAAGAUAGCAUCUUCAAUAUCAUACCUGCAGACUAUAUGAGUGUAUUGCGCACUGACUGGUUCUAAUUAUGUAUGUAUGUAAUUGUUUAAGCCAGGAUAUUUGCCUGCAUUUACCUGGACUCUCUUGAUAUCCGGCCUCCACUUUUUCUUUCUUUACGCGAGGCUCCCCAGCACUCCUUUCGCCUUUACUGCGACCUUCUCUCUCGGAACCCCGUCCGCUCCUUUCC